AUGGCCGAGGACGCGAUGGAGAGCUACCUGUACGCUGCCUACCCGCCCUACUCGUACCGCUACCCACCGCCCAAGGGCAAAGGCGGGUCGGGCGGCUGGCGGCCGCGGGGCGGCUACUUGGCGGGCUACGGGGAGGCGGCGGCGGCCGCGGCCGAGUACUUCGACAACUACCAGCGUGCGCAGCUGAAGGCCAUCCUGUCGCAGGUGAACCCCAACCUGACCCCGCGGCUCCGCAAGGCCAACACCAAGGAGGUGGGCGUGCAGGUCAACCCGCGGCAGGACGCCUCGGUGCAGUGCUCCCUCGGGCCCCGCACGCUGCUGAGGCGCCGGCCCGGCCUCGCCCCGUCGCGACCCCGCGAGGCGGCCCCGGAGCAGGAGCAGGGCAGCCCGGUCACCACCGGCACCCGAGCCGUGCGCUUCCCGCGCACCGUCGCCGUGUACUCGCCCGUGGCGUCCCGUCGUCUCACCGCCUUCCCCGAGGAGCCCGAGCCGCCACCGCGGGAGCCCGAGGCGUCGCGGGAGCCCGAGGCGUCCCGGGAGCCCGAGGCGCCGCCGGCCCCGGCAGCCGUCGAGGAGGAGCGGCGCGAGGCGGAGGCGGUGCGCGCCAGCUGGGAGAAACCGCCCGAGCGCGAGGCCGCUCCGCUGGAGCAGCGCGGGGCCGCGGCGCCGGACGGGGAUCGGGAGGGGGCAGAGCCGCGGGAGGAGCCGCCCGCCGCGCCCCAAAAGCAGGAGGCGGCCCCGGGCAAGGCCCGUCUGCGCUUCCAGUUCCUGGAGCAGAAGUACGGCUACUACCACUGCAAGGACUGCAACAUCCGCUGGGAGAGCGCCUACGUCUGGUGCGUGCAGGGCACCAACAAGGUGUAUUUCCGUCAGUUCUGCCGCACCUGCCAGAAGUCCUACAACCCGUACCGCGUGGAGGACAUCACCUGCCAGAGCUGCAAGCAGACGCGCUGCACCUGCCCCGUGAAGCUGCGCCACGUGGACCCCAAGAGGCCGCACCGCCAGGACCUGUGCGGGAGGUGCAAGGGGAAGCGCCUCUCCUGCGACAGCACCUUCAGCUUCAAAUACAUUAUCUGAGGAGGAGGGGGAUUUUGUUUGUUUAGGGCUCUUCCAGGGGAACUGCAGGCUCCGCAGGUUGUUUUCCGUUGUUGUUGGUUGGGUUGAGGGUGGCUGGGAAAGCUGCGAGUAAAGAUUUGGUGAAGCCUCUGUUGGUCAGGUGGGGCUGUGCCCAGUUUGGGGGUGUGCGUUGAGAUUUUGGUAAUUGUGUAAGGGAAGAGCCCGCAAAUACUGGUUUGCGAAUUAGUGACAGCCUGGGCUGCGGCCAGCUCAAGGCUGUGUGGAGUCUCAGACAGGAAAGAACGCUGGUUACUCAUCCUGCAUGGGAAGCUCAACCACUUGUGCAUCAGGCUGACAUCCACCGUGGGUGGUGGAGCACAUCGCAAAGGGGGCCAUGGCGGUAUUCAGUCACUGUGUACAUUGGUGCUGCAGGGCUCCUGCCCUGCUGUUCCUCUCUGGAAGAGGCUGAGAAUGACUGUGUAGAAGUCAGGCUGCUGCUCGUAUGGCUGCCCGGGCUUGGCUGAGCUCGUGUUAUAAGUUGAGAGCACAUGCUGCUUGGGGUGGUGUUAAUUUGUCUUCAGAAGCAGCUAUCACUGGCUGAUGGCGAGAGAGUUUUUGAUGUUACGCAUCAGGUGAACAGAAACUUUGGGUUAUUGGGAAAAAUGGCACUUGAAAGGCUCUAGGUGACCUGCAUCUGCCCAGCUUCCUCUGAACCUUCAGGUGCUGCACAAAGAGCUGCACAUGUGGUGGUGUGUGCUUGGGGUCUUCUGCCUCCUGUCAGGGAAGGAGCAGAUCACUGCCCAUCUGGGAUGGGGUUUGCAGCUAGAGGUGAUGCACCUGGACUAUUUCUGCUGCUAGGGUGAGGUCUCCAUGGGGAUGAGCAUGUUUCAGUGGUGUUAUGCACAUCAGCAUGCUACAGCAGUGCCACCUGCACAGACAACUCAGGGAAACCUGUGUCCCACUACAUUCUACCUCAUAGCUAAGGAGUUGGGUAAACAAUGGAGAAAUGUAUACUUUCCUGAGAAUGUGAAUAAAGCUGUUACCUUUGAAAUUAGCACUACACUGGACUGAGUCUUGUGGAGAACUCUUCUAAGGUGUCUUUCUCUAGAGAACUGAUUUUUACUCCAUCGGGAGUGGCUGAAGCAACACAAGUUCUGUGCCAUAUCAAGGCAGCUGACAGAAGUAGCAGUUCAGCUCUUCCUAUGUACACAGCUCUCCUCACAAGCAUGGCUUUGAGGGCUACUUGCUGUGGAGUUACCAGCAAUAGCCAGAGUGGAAAUGCAAUACAGCUGGGCACUGCUGCCUUGGAAGGCACACAGCUGGUGCUGAGAGCCCAGCUGAUCUUCAGGAAAGCUCCUUCAGUGGUGAAAGAGGGACAGGCUGGCCCUACCU